rnacentral:rRNA from 1 species
UACGUAGGGACCAAGCGUUGUUCGGAUUUACUGGGCGUAAAGGGCGCGUAGGCGGCCUUCUAAGUCGAACGUGAAAUCCCCGGGCUCAACCCGGGAACUGCGUCCGAUACUGGAAGGCUUGAAUCCGGGAGAGGGAUGCGGAAUUCCAGGUGUAGCGGUGAAAUGCGUAGAUAUCGGAAGGAACAUCAGUGGCGAAAGCGACUUCCUGGACCAGUACCGACGUUCAGGCACGAAAGCGUGGGGAGCAAACAGG